CAGUCGCCGCGGGAAUACGUAGGGUGCGAGCGUUAAUCGGAAUUACUGGGCGUAAAGCGUGCGCAGGCGGUUUUGUAAGACAGAGGUGAAAUCCCCGGGCUCAACCUGGGAACUGCCUUUGUGACUGCAAGGCUAGAGUACGGCAGAGGGGGAUGGAAUUCCGCGUGUAGCAGUGAAAUGCGUAGAUAUGCGGAGGAACACCGAUGGCGAUGGCAAUCCCCUGGGCCUGUACUGACGCUCAUGCACGAAAGCGUGGGGAGCAAACAGGAUUAGAUACCCCCGUAGUCCCUGUCUCUUAUAC
rnacentral:rRNA from 1 species